rnacentral:rRNA from 1 species
CCUACGGGGCGCUGCAGUGGGGAAUAUUGGACAAUGGGCGAAAGCCUGAUCCAGCCAUGCCGCGUGUGUGAAGAAGGCCUUCGGGUUGUAAAGCACUUUCAGUGGGGAAGAAAGCCUUGGGGCUAAUACCCUCGAGGAAGGACAUCACCCACAGAAGAAGCACCGGCUAACUCCGUGCCAGCAGCCGCGGUAAUACGGAGGGUGCGAGCGUUAAUCGGAAUUACUGGGCGUAAAGCGCGCGUAGGCGGUCUGAUAAGCCGGUUGUGAAAGCCCCGGGCUCAACCUGGGAACGGCAUCCGGAACUGUCAGGCUAGAGUGCAGGAGAGGAAGGUAGAAUUCCCGGUGUAGCGGUGAAAUGCGUAGAGAUCGGGAGGAAUACCAGUGGCGAAGGCGGCCUUCUGGACUGACACUGACGCUGAGGUGCGAAAGCGUGGGUAGCGAACAGGAUUAGAUACCCGGGUAGUC